rnacentral:antisense_RNA from 1 species
GACUCUGCCUUUGCUUGCAGUUCUCUGGCUUGAUUGAGGAGGUUCUCACUUUCAUCUUUAUGGGACUUUGGCUAAAAAAAAUAAACUGUCAAAGGAACUGGCAUUUGCUGACUGGACUACAGCACAUCUCGAAGAAUCUGCAGACUGAAACCUUCAAGGCAUUCAUGAAAUGGUCUUUCCUUAGUUCCCCUGCCCUUUCCACUCUUUCUGCCAUUUGGAUUUCACACUGGAAGUUCAAGAGAUGACAUCAGAAAACAGAAAAGCCAGUGGGAAAGGCAAGGAGAUUUGGAAGAGUGUUUGAAAAUUUUGGCAAUCAAGAAUAAGAAGGUCAGUAAAUUUCAGUACAGGACCACAUAAGUCUAAAAUACUACCUACGAUUUUGCUUAAAGAUCGUGCAACUGUGUAGACGGAUGUUCCUGCAAACCCGAUUGUUCUGCUACUGCAUAAAGAGUAUGUCUUGAAGGACAAGAGUGGAGACAGUUGGAUCAGCUAGGAGGCUCUGGUGGCAAUUUAAACUGUAGAUGAGGUGACUUGGACCAAAGAACAGCAGUAGAGAUAAGGAAAGUGGUCAGAAAUCAAGAUUCAAGGCCUGGUGUGGUGGCUCACACCUGUAAUCCCAGCACUCUGGGAUGCCAAGAAAGCAGGAAGCCAAGUCACCAGGCAGAACUGAUAGCAUGGGAAGUGGGUUCCCACCAGUCGCAUGCAGCUGCU